GACGAACGCUGGCGGCGUGCCUAACACAUGCAAGUCGAGCUAAGUGAGUACUACGGUACGAACUUAGCGGCGGACGGGUGAGUAACGCGUGGACAAUCUACCCUGUAGACUGGGAUAACACCUCGACAGGGCUGCUAAUAACGGAUAAUGUCCAGAAGCGGCAUCGCUUUUCGAAGAAAGGAGGGAAUCCGCUAUAGGAGGAGUCCGCGUCCCAUUGGCUAGUUGGUGAGGGUAACGGCCCACCAAGCCGACGAUGGGUAGCCGGCCUGAGAGGGUGAACGGCCACACUGGAACUGAGACACGGUCCAGACACCUACGGGAGGCAGCAGUGGGGAAUAUUGUGCAAUGGGGGAAACCCUGACACAGCAACGCCGCGUGAGCGAAGAAGGCCUUCGGGUUGUAAAGCUCAAUAGUAUGGGAAGAUAAUGACGGUACCAUACGAAAGCCCCGGCUAACUACGUGCCAGCCGCCGCCGUAACAC
rnacentral:rRNA from 1 species